UAAAAUACCACAAAUAUUAUCCGCCCGGGUACUACGAGCACUAGCUUAAAACCCAAAGGACUUGGCGGUGCUUUAGACCCCCCUAAGAGGAGCCUGUUUCUAGAACCGAUAAUCCCCGUUCAACCUCACCCCUCCCUGUCACUGCCUAUAUACCGCCGUCGCCAGCCUACCCUGUGAAGGAACCAUAGUGGGCUAUACUGGUAAUACCCCAAACGUCAGGUCGAGGUGUACCAUAUGGAGGGGGAAGCAAUGGGCUACAUUCACUGUGUCAGUGAAUCACAAAAGGUGCACUGAAAGACCGCAUCUGAAGGUGGAUUUAGCAGUAAGGAGGGAGCAGAGUGCCCCCCUGAAACCGGCUCUUGAGCGUGCACACACCGCCCGUCACCCUCUGCAGU
rnacentral:rRNA from 1 species